GACGAACGCUGGCGGCGUGCUUAACACAUGCAAGUCGAACGGAAAGGCCCUGCUUUUGUGGGGUGCUCGAGUGGCGAACGGGUGAGUAACACGUGAGUAACCUGCCCUUGACUUUGGGAUAACUUCAGGAAACUUGGGCUAAUACCGGAUAGGACCUCCUGCUUCAUGGUGGGGGUUGGAAAGUUUCGGCGGUUGGGGUUGGACUCGAGUCUUCUCAGCUUGUUGUUGGGGUAGUGGCUUACCAAGGCCUUGACGGGUAGCCGGCCUGAGAGGGUGACCGGCCACAUUGGGACUGAGAUACGGCCCAGACUCCUACGGGAGGCAGCAGUGGGGAAUAUUGCACAAUGGGCGGAAGCCUGAUGCAGCAACGCCGCGUGCGGGAUGACGGCCUUCGGGUAGUAAACCGCUUUCGCCUGUGACGAAGCGUGAGUGACGGUAAUGGGUAAAGAAGCACCGGCUAACUACGUA
rnacentral:rRNA from 1 species